CGGGAAACAACCUUUUAGGCAUCGGCAAAGCAUUACGCGAGGCAAUCGUCCCGUCAGGCAUGGACCGAAAAUCGCCGUUCGCAUGAUGUAGUAUAGCUACAUUUCUCCUGUAAUACCCACAAAGUAUAUUUACAGAUUGUCACUGAUAGUGUGCCACUUGCACCUAGGGUGAACCCUCAGCCAUGCUUCAAAGGUGUGCGGGCAUAGGAAUCCGUUGUUACUGUACAUACAUAAGCCGCUAGAAACGACGACUCCUGUUCAUGUGUCACCUUCUUGCGCUUGGUCACCUCGCGCUGAAGGCUCCAAACGCAUCUUGCUGCAAUACAUGUAAGCACUGCUUGGUUAUGCCUCUUCAAGUUAUGCUGAAUUGACGAAUGAUGCUUUAUAUUGUGGAAUUAUGGGGCUCUGCCCGCAGAUGUGACGUUGUCAGUGCGGCCUGCCCCGACCCAAGGGUCGAGACAAGCGCCGCCACUAGCAUUAUGAAAAUGCGCUUCAUUUUGGUGUAUUUACUCCUUGGUGCUAAUAUCCUAUAUUCUCUAGCACUCCACCCGUGAGGUCUCGCUAAUGAGGCGAAGGCACAGCGGUGUAGUAACAGAAAGCACGCCGGAGGCGCGGAUACCAGUGAAGCACUCGGCGUACUGCACAUGACGCGUACCGCCAGCACACUCGUGCUACUAAGUUGUGCGCUACAACGGCAAAGCCAGUAACACCCUGCAGUGUGGACCGAACCAGUUGCGUCAUUUGGAGCUUUCUAAACGGUCGGCGCCCGGGGGAGCAGCUCCCGGUCAAUUAGGUUUCAGAGCAGCGCGCUGGGAGCGGCGCCAUAAGACCAUCCCAUUUGGGUACCUUCAUACCAUAAGGCCCUCCCCGUGGACAUGUCUGCUGUGAUGAAGGUGCACCGAGCCAAAAUUUUGCCCCCGAGUUUCAUUGUCCGAGCUGCAGCUACACCUCCCGCCUCGAUGAGACGAAAAGAACUAAUGUGUGACGCGCGAAAUAAUUUACGACGCGCAACCCCGUCCUAAUAAGGGCCGGGCCCGUUCCCAGGGGCAGCUGCAAGCGCUUUUCGUGCUGCGUUCCAACACAAAUCGACCAACAAUCCAAAUCCCGGUGCACGAGCAAACCUCCCGUCGCUUCAUCCGAGCCCUCACUUCCUUCCGUCCACUGAAGUGACGGUUACAAUGUACGUGUCAUCGUAUGUCUCCACGAAUGGCCACCAGCCGCCGUGCAGUACGAAUCUAUCGCAGCCACCAUCACCACUGUUAUCGCACCCCUUGGUUCGGAGUGGAACCAUGAUAGCGGCGUUUCUGGGGCUGGGCUGUGUACCCUCCACUUCAGCCUCCAACCAGCGAUUGGUCUGUGGGUGGUUUUUACGAGCGGAAUUGCGGGUGAAGGACCACCGACAGGGCCGCUUUCCUGGCUAGCAUGAAACCCGGGAAUCCCGCAUACAGGCCAACCAAAUUUAAUUGAUACCCACCUUUCCAGGCCGUGCAGCAUGCAGGACAAUAGUUCAUGGGGUGGCAAAAGAAUCACUGAUAGAGUAGGGAGCGCAGAAAGCAGUCCAACUUUGACGAUACUCACACACUCGUUACCGCCGUACCUGCGUAUCGUACAAGAUGACGUCGUCCCGCGGCUGCAGCUGUCCCGUCAGGGCGUAGUAUGAGCCACCAAUAAAGAUCAAGUAACGACCCGUGACGCCACUACCGCCGCUGCAGGCUCCGGAGAUAUGGGAGCACCGAGCCUAUGGGGUCAUAG
rnacentral:lncRNA from 1 species